rnacentral:rRNA from 1 species
AUGCACGCUGGCGGCGUGCCUAACACCUGCAAGUCGAACGGAGAUUACGGACGGAAGUUUUCGGAUGGAAGCCUGUAAUUCUUAGUGGCGGACGGGUGAGUAACGCGUGGGCAACCUGCCCUAUACAGGGGGAUAGCAGCUGGAAACGGCUGGUAAGACCGCAUAAGUCGGUUAAAUCGCAUGAUUUGAUCGGGAAAUGAGCAAUCAGGUAUAGGAUGGGCCCGCGUCCGAUUAGCCAGUUGGCAGGGUAAAAGCCUACCAAAGCGACGAUCGGUAGCCGGACUGAGAGGUCGGACGGCCACAUUGGGACUGAGACACGGCCCAAACUCCUACGGGAGGCAGCAGUGGGGGAUAUUGCACAAUGGAGGAAACUCUGAUGCAGCGACGCCGCGUGAGUGAAGAAGUAUUUCGGUAUGUAAAGCUCUAUCAGCAGGGAAGAUGAUGACGGUACCUGACUAAGAAGCCCCGGCUAACUACGUG